rnacentral:rRNA from 1 species
UACGUAGGGUGCAGGCGUUGUCCGGAAUUAUUGGGCGUAAAGAGCUCGUAGGCGGUUUGUUGCGUCGGCUGUGAAAUCCCGAGGCUCAACCUCGGGUCUGCAGUCGAUACGAGCAAACUAGAGUGUUGCAGGGGAGACUGGAAUUCCUGGUGUAGCGGUGAAAUGCGCAGAUAUCAGGAGGAACACCGGUGGCGAAGGCGGGUCUCUGGGCAACAACUGACGCUGGAGGAAGCGAAAGGCGUGGGGAGCGAACAGG